CUGCAGAGAGAGGUACGCACACACUGCAGAGAGAGUAUGAAGACACACAGUCUCAGCUGUUGGACCUCCGUCAGCGUUACGAGAGAACAGAGAAAGAGAAGCUGAACAUCCACCAGGAGCUGGAGCAGUGCAGGAGCAGCCUGAAGCUGCUGCAGGACAAGCCCAGCUCCCCAUCCAUACUGCAGCCUGUCCAAGCCAUAUUCAUUGGCCUUGUCCUGGCUCUGCUGUACUGGUGUUUCGGCCAGUUGUGGUAGAAAGGUACACACCGACAUGACACCAGUCUGUCUCUCCGUCUGUCUCUUGUUUGGCCUCCAUCUGUCCGUCAUCUGUGGAAGGAAAGGUGAUGAAGGUGAAGACAUCGUCCUGAUCUGUGAUGAAUUCAGGGUCUCGUUGAGAAUUAAAACCUGUCCACUGAGAUCAGUAAAGUUUUAAUAGUUAUGUUAUUAUUCAAAUAACGGCCAUGUUCCUGACCUU